GACGAACGCUGGCGGCGUGCUUAACACAUGCAAGUCGAACGGAAAGGCCCUGCUUUUGUGGGGUGCUCGAGUGGCGAACGGGUGAGUAACACGUGAGUAACCUGCCCUUGACUUUGGGAUAACUUCAGGAAACUGGGGCUAAUACCGGAUAGGAGCUCCUGCUGCAUGGUGGGGGUUGGAAAGUUUCGGCGGUUGGGGAUGGACUCGCGGCUUAUCAGCUUGUUGGUGGGGUAGUGGCUUACCAAGGCUUUGACGGGUAGCCGGCCUGAGAGGGUGACCGGCCACAUUGGGACUGGGAGACGGCCCAGGCGCCUACGGGAGGCAGCAGCGGGGAAUAUUGCACAAUGGGCGGAAGCCUGAUGCAGCAACGCCGCGUGCGGGAUGACGGCCUUCGGGUUGUAAACCGCUUUCGCCUGUGACGAAGCGUGAGGGACGGUAAUGGGUAAAGAAGCACCAGCGAACUACGU
rnacentral:rRNA from 1 species